UCAGGGAAGUAGCUCAGGGGUAGAGCACUUGCCCACGUUACAGGAGGCACUGGGUUCCAUCCCCAGCCCCAGAA
rnacentral:tRNA from 1 species